rnacentral:rRNA from 1 species
AGUGAACGCUGGCGGUAGGCCUAACACAUGCAAGUCGAACGGCAGCACAGGAGAGCUUGCUCUCUAGGUGGCGAGUGGCGGACGGGUGAGGAAUACGUCGGAAUCUGCCCAGUCGUGGGGGAUAACGUAGGGAAACUUACGCUAAUACCGCAUACGACCUUCGGGUGAAAGAGGGGGAUCGCAAGACCUCUCGCGAUUGGAUGAGCCGAUGUCGGAUUAGCUAGUUAGCGGGGUAAUGGCCCACCAAGGCGACGAUCCGUAGCUGGUCUGAGAGGAUGAUCAGCCACACUGGAACUGAGACACGGUCCAGACUCCUACGGGAGGCAGCAGUGGGGAAUAUUGGACAAUGGGCGCAAGCCUGAUCCAGCCAUACCGCGUGGGUGAAGAAGGCCUUCGGGUUGUAAAGCCCUUUUGUUGGGAAAGAAAUCUUUCAGGCUAAUACCCUGGGAGGAUGACGGUACCCAAAGAAUAAGCGCCGGCUAACUUCGUG